ensembl:lncRNA novel transcript, antisense to BOC
GGAAGCCCUGUUGUUUCUGUGAAAGGAUUGAUGUCCCUUUGAUUACAAUAUUAGACUAUGAACUCUUUAGGGGCGUGGACCGAGUUUUGUUCCUGUCUGUGUCCCCUGAACCUAACCCAGGUCCUGGCCCAAGUACACACUUGGCAAGUGUUGAAUGAAUAAAUGAAUGAAUGUUAAUGAAUGAACGAAUGAAUAUCUUGGAAGCUGAGCCCCACGAGUUAGGUACAAGAUGCCCAUUAUGCUGCCUAGAAACUCAUAGUUGAACUCAUAAAUUCAUAGUUGAAGUUGGUCUACAUUUUGAACAAACAGACAAGAGCCUAGCAUAACAAAUGUUCUGUGAACAUUAUAUCUAAGUGUGGCCAAUGGAAGCUAUUUUGCAAAUACAAUGUUUCUUGAGACGUUAUGUGGGAUCUGAAGAAAGAAGUGAAAUGGGUCUAAUAAAUGUGCUGUAAGAAAUACAUGCUAUUCAAGGAGUGAUGUGUUAAAAACAGUGACAGGAUGGAUAUUCCAUUCUCCAUGAUGUGCUUAUUUCACACUGCAUGCCUGUAUCAAAACAUCUCAUGUACCUGAUAAAUAUACACACAUACUAUGUACCCACACACACACACAAAACUUAACAAAAAACAGAGAUUGGCUGUCUGAUUCCUUUCUAUUGCCCCAUUUCACUUUCCAGGCUGAACAAGCAUGAUGCCUGCGGGUCAAGGCGAGAUCUCUCAUAGAUUCCUUCCUGUGGCUGCAAAUUGAAGUUCGAUUCUGUUUGAAGUAAGAAGAGAAGUAAGACGCCACCAUCCGCUGGAUGCUUCAUGGAGUUACCAAUAUCCCCAUAUCCAUGAGCUCUGCUGAAUGCUUAAAGAAACUUUGGCCUUUUACCCCUGCAGGUACUUCUCAUGCACAGUCCUGUCCUACCCUCCUGCCUGUUCCUGGGGAUCACAGGACAAGCCUGCAUUCCUCUACAGAGGUCUGGAUGGGAUCCAUUAGGUCACGGGGCACCGCAUGGGGCUCAUGUGGCAAUGCUGCCAGGAUGACUUAGCAGCCUCAGGGCCACUGGCAGGUUUCUGGACUGAUGGAUAAUUCUAUUCCCCAACUGUCACAACCUCCAAGCCUCAACUUGUCCCUGUGGCAGCUUGCUGCAUCUGUGGCUAAUGCUACAAGGCACAAAGGAUUCUGCUCUACUGGAGCACUACUCAGUGGCAUGCUGAUCCUUUGGUCCUUCCCUGCACCUCAGUCCCUUUUUGAGAGACACCCGAGGUGCAGGAGAAGUAAAGUCACUAAGAGUUUUCUCUGGUUGAGCUUCUGGCUCAUGGCUAUCAGACAGACUUGGCUGUAGAGUCUGAGAAGACAAAGGGUCCCUGACACUCCUCACUAUGUUGCCCCUGGACAAUAUGGGGGCUCUCCUGUGUCCCAAACUGCUUCAUUGAUGGACAAAAAGUCCCAACACAAUUCUCAACCCCCAAGUCACUUGAGGGACCAUAGCUUGGCAUGACCCCAAGGUUAUUCCUCUGAAAUAAAAUGAUCUGCAAGUGAAACGCCAUGGCAGUUUUCUGCUGAGGAUGUGGGACAACUACAGAAACAGAAGGCUGGAGCCUCAUUGUGCUCUCAUGAGGUCAGAAAGCCUGGCACCUGGUGAGUGGUUGGGGUUUACUGUGGGCUGGGCAGGCAUCUCAGAAGCCAUGCAUUUGGGGUAGUGACUAAGUAUUUUAGCCCUGGCACAUAGACCCCCUGCAGCCCACAAAGCGGGACAAAACCAGCAUUUGGUAAAAUACCAUCCCUCUGGUCAUCAUUGAGUCAUUCAUUUAGCAAGCCAGGUGCUGCAGAAUUGUCUAUUAUGCCAAGCACUGCAGAAAAUACAAAGAAGAAAAGACAUAGCUCCUAACCACAGGGAGCUUUCAAUCACAUAGACAAGGCAGGACACAAUAAUUCACAAGCGUGGUGUUCUCCAGCGUAGUCCUCACCACCUCCACCAGCACUCCAGCCUAAGUCAACACUGUAAUCUACAGAGACACUUAGAAACACAGUUGGCAGAGUGAGUACUGCUCCUCCCUUUGCAGGCAGGGAGACUGGAUAAAUAUGUUUGCUGUCUUUGGGAUUUUUUUCUGCCUGUCCAAUUGCACAAAUAAUUUUGGCUCCCAAGCUCUCUCCUGACAACCAUGGAAACAUGACAUGAAAUUUCUCAAACACACUUUCUGAUGAAAGCAAGGCAUGCUCUUUUUUAUUUAAAGAAAACAGUUUCCAUGGGGAGGAAGAAGAAGAAUUAAAAAAAAAAACAAACCUUUGUAGAUGCCAAGCACAUUAGUUGUUAAAUCUUGUUUCUUUCUUUUCCUUUCAGUUGAGGUGGGAUUUACACCCAGAUUUGAGCAGUGGAAGAAAGCUGGGAUUGGGGAAGAGAUGAAAGAGACUGGGGGAUGAGGGCUGAAAAUCAAAGUCAAGACAGGAGAGAGAAAUCUGGGGGUGGGCAGGAGGGGAAAGCAGGCCAGAAGGGAGGAGUGGGAGAGGAAGAAGGAGAGAGACUAAAAAGAACCUAUUUUGCAAUGUCAUUAAAUGAUUUGCAAUGAAUUGGCCUGAGGCUUCAGGAAUUUCUUGGCUUGAACCAAUUAAAAAUACUUCAUUUUUAAAAAAGACAUAAGAGAACGAGAAAUGCGAUUAAUCCUCAAAGACAAGUCAAGGAUGGAGCCAUGUCUCCACUGGGUCUGGCAGCCAGAUGAACACAGAUGUCUGGUCUGUAGACCAUCUCAUCUACCCGACUUCAGGGCCGCUCUGAGGUAGGGCUGGUUAGCAGAACUGGGGAGUUUCUUUUGGACUAGAUGAAGGAAUGAAAUAGUUAGAAAAAAAAUAUACUGAAGAAAGAGCAGAAGGAAAAAAAGAUUUACUUGCCAGCAACCCACAUCACACAUAUUUCUCUGAUCAACCAAAUACAAACUAUAAACUUAGCAGUGGGAAAAUUAAUGUGAGUCCUGGUGGUCUGGACUCAUCAGAGCCAGAGCUGGAUCCUGGCACAGGCUUUGGAAGGGCUGGCAGCCUGUGCAAGAAGAGAGGGAGGAGAGAAAGCGGAGGCUGAGGAGCUGAGAGAAAGAAUGGGGAUGAGCACUUUGGUGUGGCUGUGAUGAACAGAACUCCAGGUGGGAGAGACGGGGCAGUGGGGCCUGCUUUUUCUUCCCACACACCUGGAAACUGCAUACUCCCAUCAGCCUCGGUGGCACCAAUCCCAUCCACCCACUCCAAAAUGCCCCUUGAGGUAUAUGUGAGGACAGUGGUCCCCAACCUUUUUGGCAUCAGGGACGGGUUUCAUGGAAGACAAUUUUUCCAUGGACCAUGGGUGGGGAGACUGGGGGGGAUGGUUUUGGGAUAAAACUGUUCCACCUCAAAUCAAUAGACAUUAGUUAGAUUCUCAUAAGGGGCGCACAACCUCCUAAAUCCCUCGCAUGCACAGUUCACAGUAGGGUUCACCCUCUAAUGGUGAACCCUAUUCUAUUGAAUGGUGAAAACCUGUUCUGUUCUGUUCUGUUCUGUUCUGUUCUUUCUGUUCUGUUCUGUUCUGUUCUGUUCUGUUCUGUUCUGUUCUGUUCUGUUCUAUUCUAUUCUAAUAGAAUCUAAUGCCACUGCUGAUCUGACAGGAGGUGGUGUUCAGAUGGUAAUGCUUGCUGGUCCACCGCUCACCUCCUGCUGUGUGACCCUGUUCCUAACAGGCCAUGCACCACCAUGGAACGGUACUGGUCUGCUGCCUGGGGGUUGGGGACCCCUGUGUUAGGUCAUGGAGCCAAAUUCACUGGCAUCUCCCUGAGGUUCCAGAAUUUCCUCCAAACAUCUCAGUUUCUUUCCAAUGUUGUUUUAUGCUUCUGACAUUCAUCAAUUUUUCUAAGUCUUUCUUGAAUCCAUUUGUAUCUUCAACCUCUUUGUAUCCUGAGUCCCUGCUUUAUCCUUUCUUAUAUACUUCUUGAAAACUUUAAAUAUAUCAGAAUUUGAAAAGGAAAUUCAGAAAUUGUUAAUUUACCCUGUGUAUGCCCUUUUUCAUCUUCUAGACCUCAAACAUGUUUUAUCUGGGAGUCUUCCUCUUUCAUGACAUUCACAGAAGGCCUAUGGUGUGCCAGGCCCCGUGGACAGCACUGUGGACACAGAUGCAUAAUAACAGUUCCUACCCUCCAGAUAGAGAGGCAAGAAAGGGCUGUGGAAGCAAACCCAAGGUACUAAGGAAGCCGGGAAGAGAACCUACUCUAGACUUGGAAGUUGAAGGGGUCAAGAAACAUUCCUAGAGAAGAUACCUGAGUCUUGAAAACUGAGAAGGAAUUAGUAACCCAACAGAGGUGGGAACUUUCUGAGGACGGAGAUGGAGAGGAAGAUGCUGCCAGCUGAGGGACCACCAUUCUGAAAGCUAGGAGAAAGUGCGCGAUGGAAAGUGGGCCUGAGGGAAAGGCUGUAAGCACCUCACUAUUAAUCACAAUUCUCCCUAUAGGAAA